rnacentral:rRNA from 1 species
CCCUUAGAUGUCCUGGGCCGCACGCGCGCUACACUGAUGCAUUCAACGAGUUUCUUCCUGGUCCGAGAGGAAUGGGUAACCUUUUGAAAGUGCAUCGUGAUAGGGAUAGACUAUUGCAAUUAUUGGUCUUCAACGAGGAAUUCCUAGUAGACGUAGUUCAUCAGACUGCAUCGAUUACGUCCCUGCCCUUUGUACACACCGCCCGUCGCUCCUACCGAUUGAAUGCUCAGGUGAGCCAUUCGGACCUUCAUCAUGCCGGUUUCCGGUUUUGAUGAGGGGAAGUCUUGCGAACCUUAUCAUUUAGAGGAAGGAGAAGUCGUAACA